CGUCGAAUGGUUUGGCGGCGAACAGGGCUGGGCGCUGACGACGCACGCCGACGGCAGCUUCGACGUGCUGUUCGACGGC
rnacentral:tRNA from 1 species